UACGGAGGGUGCAAGCGUUAUCCGGAUUCACUGGGUUUAAAGGGUGCGUAGGUGGGCAGGUAAGUCAGUGGUGAAAUCUCCGAGCUUAACUCGGAAACUGCCGUUGAUACUAUUUGUCUUGAAUAUUGUGGAGGUAAGCGGAAUAUGUCAUGUAGCGGUGAAAUGCUUAGAUAUGACAUAGAACACCAAUUGCGAAAGGCAGCUUACUACACAACGAUUGACGCUGAGGCACGAAAGCGUGGGGAUCAAACAGG
rnacentral:rRNA from 1 species